rnacentral:rRNA from 1 species
AACGUAGGUGGCGAGCGUUAUCCGGAUUCAUUGGGCGUAAAGAGCUUGUAGGUGGCGGCGUAAGUUGGACGUGAAAUCGCCCGGCUCAACCGGGCGGGGUCGUUCAAUACUGCGCGGCUGGAGGAGGUCAGAGGGAAGUGGAAUUCCUGGUGUAGCAGUGAAAUGCGUAGAUAUCAGGAGGAACACCCGUGGCGAAGGCGGCUUCCUGGGGCCGAUCCUGACACUGAGAAGCGAAAGCUAGGGGGAGCGAACGGG